rnacentral:tRNA from 1 species
GAUGGCUGAAGCUACAGGCGCUAGGCUGUAAACCUAGGAAUGAGGUGUACCUCUC